ACGGGAGGCAGCAGUGGGGGAUAUUGGACAAUGGGGGCAACCCUGAUCCAGCGACGCCGCGUGAGUGAAGAAGUAUUUCGGUAUGUAAAGCUCUACCAGCAGGGAAGAAAAAUAACCAAAUUGACUGUACCUGACUAAGAAGCCCCGGCUAACUACGUGCCAGCAGCCGCGGUAAUACGUAGGGGGCAAGCGUUAUCCGGAUUUACUGGGUGUAAAGGGAGCGUAGGCGGCGAAGCAAGUCAGAUGUGAAAGCCCGGGGCUCAACCCCGGUACUGCACUUGAAACUGUUUUGCUAGAGUAUCGGAGAGGUAAGUGGAAUUCCUAGUGUAGCGGUGAAAUGCUUAGAUAUUAGGAAGAACACCAGUGGCGAAGGCGGCUUACUGGACGAUAACUGACGCUGAGGCUCGAAAGCGUGGGGAGCAAACAGGAUUAGAUACCCUGGUA
rnacentral:rRNA from 1 species